rnacentral:tRNA from 1 species
GCAGGCGUAGUACAAAGGUUAGUAUUCCGGUCUUCCAAACCGGUGAUGGGGUGUCGGAAUCCCUCGCUUGCUCCA